GGAAACGUACGAUUUGUUGCGUAUACGUGAUCUUGGCUCAGAUAUCUCAUAAGGUGGCGCUAGAGAUUGUUCUCGGGCCUAAAAACUCGUAAAGGGGGCCGCAUGUAUUCUGGGAUCCUCCGGGAAACCGGGGCUAAUACCGGAUGGUUGUUUGAACCGCAUGGUUCCACAUAAAAGGUGGCUUCGGCUACCACUUACAGAUGGACCCGCGGCGCAUUAGCUAGUUGGUGAGGUAACGGCUCACCAAGGCAACGAUGCGUAGCCGACCUGAGAGGGCGACCAACACAUACUGGGACUGAGCCACGAUACACACUUCUAGGGGAGGCAUGAGGAGGAAUUCUUCCCGCAAUGGACGAAAGUCUGAGGGAGCAACGCGGGGGUGAGUGAUGGAAGGCUUUCGGAUCGUAAGCUCUGUUGUUAGGGAAGAGCAAAUACCGUUCGAAUAGGGGGGUGCCUUGACGGUACGUAACAGAAAGCCACGGCUAACUACGUGCCACCAGCCGCGGUAAUACGUAGGUGGCAUGCGUUGUCCUGAAUUGUUGGAGAGUAAGGGCUCGCGGGCGUUUCUAAGUCUGAAGUGAAAGCCCCCGGCUCAGCCAGGUAGGGGCAUUGCAAACUAGCGAACUUGAGUGCAAGAGAAGAGAAUUGCACUGCCGCGUGUAGCGAUGACAUGCAUAGAGAUGUGAAGUACACCGAGGGCGAAGCCAACUCUCUGUCCUGUAACUGAGCUGAGAACGAAGCGUGGGAACGACAUGAUUACAUAGCCUGCAAUCCAAGACGUAACGAUGAUGGCUAUGUGGUAAGUGUGUCCGCCCCUUAUGAUGCAACUAACGCAUAGCACAUCCGCUUGGGGGUACGGUCGCAAGAUGAACCUCAAUGAUUGACGCGGCGCCGCAGCGGGUGACGUGUGGGUUAAUUCAGGCAGCGAAAAGACCUUAACAGGCUUAGAAACUCCACU
rnacentral:rRNA from 1 species